rnacentral:tRNA from 1 species
GGGGAUUUAGCUUAGUGGUAGAGCGCUUGCCUAGCAAGCGCAAGGCCCUGGGUUCGGUUCCCAGUUCCG